CCCUCCUCACUCAAAUGCUCCUACUGAAAAAGGUGACAAAACAGCAGAUUGUGAAUGUGAAGCAGGCUUUGAGCCCAGGAAAAGCUAGAGCGUGGGAGCAAAAGCCUAUGAAACUAGGACUAAAACCUUUGAUGGCUCUGAGGGAGGCCCAAGUCUUUCCAGGGAUUCUUUCCUCAGAGAUGACAAAUGCAUUCACUUUGAGAAAUAGGGGCUGGUCCUCCUAAACAGGCUGGUGGUUCAGCCUAAUGGUCUGGUCCAUCCACAUCCUGAGCAUCCAAAUUCUGUUAAAAUUAUCUGGUUAGAGAUCAUACAGUGAGUAUCAAAGUUUACAUUUCAUUAAGUUGCAUGGUUUCAAAUCAUAUCAGAAUUUGGCUUUUUGCCUGAGCUACUACUUGCGUUUUUAUUGUUUAAUGAGUUGAUAAGUCUUCUUCCUAUCUGCUCAUUUUCUGAGUUUUAAAACAAAUGUUUUACUGUACAAUCUGUUGGUUUAAAUGAAAUUUGUACUGAGCAUUAAAAUCUAGUGGGAUGUUAUUUACAAAUUCCUCAGAUUUUCUGCCAGUAAUUGUCCUGUCAUGCUAACUGUGUGAUGACUUGCAUUACAGAAUUCAUCAGUAUUGUUGAUUUAGAUUCCUCCUGUGCAAUAUUAGUAUCCUAUACAUGGGUCCAAGAGGACAGCAAAGGAAGGUCAUCUCUUUUGCAUACCAGAGAUCAUGAUCAAUAGUGGAACAAGUUUGAAUAUUGCUUUACCAUCACCUUAGGGUACAGUAACAC
rnacentral:lncRNA from 1 species